CUGCUGCUAGGCUUUACCAUUUCCAGGCGUCUUUUUGACUCUCUAAUUUGCAAGGUAGGGAAAGAGAAGAGGAGGAGGAGGAACAUGACUAGUAAUACAUCACCGGCUCAUUCGUCAAUUUCAACGACGGCGGUGGUCGGAGGUGGCAGCACCAGCAAUGCCGCUCUCGAAGAUUUCCAUUUCCCCUCCGAUCUCAUCUCCAUCCAAGAUCGCAAAGACGAGGCACUCCUAGUUCUUAAAUCUGAUUUGAUGGCUGCACUAAACAGAGAGGUUAAAUCUUUGGAUGAAGAUAACUGGAUGUUUGAAGGGCCCCGUUCCCGUAUCCACCUUAUUUCCAGACCAGGUAUGUUUCUGCACAGGAAGAUGGAAAUGGCCAAGAAUCAGAAUUCGGCACAACCAAAAUGAUUGAUAAUCCUUUGGAGUUUGAACAGGUGCACCUGGCUUUUGUUGACCAUUCACAGCUUGCAGAAGCUUCAAAAUUGAGCUGAAUAUAUGAAAUCCAAUUCAGAAGAACUACAAAAUCUCUGAAUUCACAAAAGGGUGACCAAGAAGCCUUCUCUAGAGACGACGGUCGUUCCCAAGGCUGAUGCACGUUAAUAAUCCGCGAUGAAAUCUCACACCACGUAGAAGCCGUCCAUGGAGACAUUUUGUCAUUCAGAGCACAGUCGACUUGUACUCUCCCUGCUACCAACCCCAAUGAUAUCUUUUGCUAAUAUGUCUGCCCGAACAUCAAAGAAAAUCAUGAAUGGAUGAUAGCUAGACCUACAUCCUUUUACACAGUAAUCACAACUUGGUUAAGUCGAGCAGAAGUUGUGGAACUGAAAAUUUGGUCAUAUUUCAAUCGGUAGUGAUAAACAUACAUAGAGUUGGUAUACAUAAGGAUACAUAAUGACAUGGCAAGCCAUGUAAGCAAGCGACUAGAUAAAUUUAAAAUUCAAAAAUCAAACCUUAA